AGAGCGCACGGAGGAUGCCUUGGCUUCGGCAGGCGAAGAAGGACGCGGUAAGCUGCGAAAAGGUCCGGGGACCCGCAAACGGGGCUUGAUCCGGACGUGUCCGAAUGGGGCAACCCGCACGGCUGAAGGCCGUGCACCAGACUGUGUCUGGGGCGAACCCGGGGAACUGAAACAUCUUAGUACCCGGAGGAGGAGAAAGAAAGAGUCGAUUCCCCUAGUAGUGGCGAUCGAAGAGGGAAGAGCCUAAACCGGACUGUUCACGGACAGUCCGGGGUUGUAGGACCGGAGAUAUGGACUGCCUCACGAACCGGAAUUUUCUGGAAAGUGAAGGCGCAGAGGGUGACACCCCCGUACGGGCAAGGCGGGGCAGUCCUAUCCGGCACCUGAGUAGGGCGGGGCACGUGGAAUCCUGUCCGAACCCGCGGGGACCAUCCCGCAAGGCUAAAGACUGCCGAAGACCGAUAGCGGACCAGUACCGUGAGGGAAAGGUGGGAAGCACCCCGGGAAGGGGAGUGAAAUAGAACCUGAAACCGUGCGCUUGCAAGCGGUCGGAGCACCGGGGACGGUGUGACGGCGUGCCUUUUGCAUAAUGAGCCUACGAGUUGCGUCAGUCCGGCGAGGCUAAGCCCUUCAGGGGCGGAGCCGCAGCGAGAGCGAGUCUGAACAGGGCGUUCAGUCGGGCUGAGCAGACGCGAAACCUAGUGAUCUACCCUUGUCCAGGGUGAAGGCGCCGUAACAGGCGCUGGAGGCCCGAACCAGUUUCCGUUGAAAAGGGCUUGGAUGAGAUGAGGGUAGGAGUGAAAGGCCAAUCAAACUGGGAGAUAGCUCGUACUCCCCGAAAUGUCUUUAGGGACAGCCUCGUCGGUUUCCUUCAUGAGGUAGAGCUACCGAUUGGAAGCGAGGGCUUCGCCGCCUAUCAAUUCCAGACGAACUCCGAAUGCGUGAAGGUUCCACGACGGGAGUGAGUCGUCGGGUGCUAAUAUCCGGCGGCGAGAGGGUAAGAGCCCAGACCUCCGGCCAAGGCCCCCAAGAGCGGUCUAAGUUGAGACAGAACGAAGUGGCGCCGCAGAGACAGCCAGGAUGUUAGCUUGGAAGCAGCUAUUCAUUCAAAGAGUGCGUAACAGCUCACUGGUCGAGCGGAGCCGCGUGGAUGAUGAUCGGGCAUCAAGACCGCCGCCGAAGCCGAGGACGGCUGGCGCGAGUCAGUCGUGGUAGGGGAGCAUUCCGGUCGGCGCCGAAGGGAAGUCGCGAGGCUUCCUGGAGCGUCCGGAAAAGAAAAUGUAGGCAUGAGUAACGACAAGGGGCGUAGAAACGCCCCCGCCGAAAACCCAAGGUUUCCGGGGCCACGCUAAACGGCCCCGGGUGAGCCGGGAGCUAACGGUAAGCCGAGAGGCGAUCCGGAUGCACACGCGGUUAAUAUUCCGCGGCCGGCCCGUCGGGCGAUGUCGCGACCGAGAAGUGAAACCUCCGCGCGGAGACGGAAUUCCGCGUUGAAGGCCGUAGGGGAGACCCGAAAGCCGACAGUACGGCGAGCCUCCGGGCGAGCCGACAGCGAGGGUAACCAUGCUCGCGAGAAAAGCGACUAGCGCUAAGAGACGGGCCGCCCGUACCGUAAACCGACACAGGUGGGUGGGGAGAGUAUCCUGAGGCGCUCGAGUGAAUCACGGCCAAGGAACUAGGCAAAUUGACCCCGUAACUUAGGGAUAAGGGGUCCCGCGGCGACGCGGGCGCAGAGAAAUGGCCCAGGCGACUGUUUACCAAAAACAUAUGGCUAUGCGAAAUCGUUAAGAUGACGAAUAUGGCCUGACACCUGCCCGGUGCCGGAAGGUUAAGAGGGGGGGUCACCGAAAGGGAAGCCCUGAAUUGAAGCCCCGGUAAACGGCGGCCGUAACUAUAACGGUCCUAAGGUAGCGAAAUUCCUUGUCGGGUAAGUUCCGACCUGCACGAAUGGUGUAACGAUCUGGGCGCUGUCUCAGCCGUGAGCUCGGUGAAAUUGUGUUCAAUACAAAAAGGAAUAUAUUUGUCUUUAUCGGUUGUAAAUAAAACACCGUCCCCUAUCAUAUUAAAAAAACGCAUAGAGUAAUCAUCAUAAUUUCCAUAAGAAAUAACUUGUCCAUUAUAGUAUAAAUCAACAUGCCCCAUUCGAUUAAAACCACGAUUAGAUGUAUGAACAAAAAUUUCUAAAUCAGGUAAAACAUCUACACUCUUUUCUUCAAAAGGAAAAUUUGAAUCAUAAUUUUCUUUAUCUAAUAAAUAAUUAAUUUCACUUAACACUGUAAAAGGAAUAAUAGCUUCAAUAAUAGCUGGUAAACUAAUACGAAUAUUUCUUUUUAUUUUUUUCCUUACUUUUCUUGGAAUAAUAAAAGAAAUAAAAUCAAUAAUAUAGUUAAUUCCUAAAAAUAAAAUAUAAAUACCAAUAAUAAGAAGAACUAUACUUAAGUUUUUAAUAGGUGCAAAGAUAAUUGAAAUAGAAACAGUAAAAUAGAUAAGAAAAGUUAUCGUUUCUACUAAUCUACCAUUUGCUUUAUUCUUCCAAAGAAUAGAAGCAUUUAUUAAU
rnacentral:rRNA from 1 species